GGUCUUUUGUUUAUAUAAAAGAUCUGGCCUGCCCAAUGAAAUUUUAAUGGCUGCAGUAUUUUGACUGUACAAAGGUAGCAUAAUCAUUUGUCUUUUAAUUGAAGUCUGGUAUGAAUGGUCGGAUGAAGAAUUUUCUUUCUCUUUUUUAUAUAAAAAAAUUAAUGUUUGGAUUAAAAAGUCUAAAUAGUACUAUAGGACGAGAAGACCCUAUAGAACUUUAUUUUUGGGAUAUAGAUUGUGUUUUGUUUAUAUUUAUAAUAUAUAUUUUCAAAUAUUUUGUUGGGGUGACAAAAAAAAAUUAAUAACUUUUUUUAUUUUUGUCAUAUAUGAAUGGUAUUUUUGAUCCUUUUUUAGGGAAAAAAAGAAUAAGUUACCUUAGGGAUAACAGCGUUAUUGUUCUAGAGAGUUCUUAUCGAUAGAAUAGUUUGCGACCUCGAUGUUGGAUUAAAAUAAGUUUCAGGAGUAGAAGAUUGUAUAACUAGGUCUGUUCGACCUUUAAAUUUUUACA
rnacentral:rRNA from 1 species